UCUUUUAUUUGUGCAAUAACGUUCAAUGUCUAAAUAUGAAUUCAAUGAUAUCGAUACCUGUCAAUGUCUAGUCAUAAUUUCUUUUAAAUUUAGAAACAUGUUACGUCAAGUUUAAUAGACAAAGACUACCGAGUUCCGAAGAGUUCCAAAAAGGGUUGACUUUGGUAUAGGACUCCUAGUAUUGAGUUUCCUCAUAUACACUCUAACCUUUUUCUGCGUCUUUGAUGCAUCUUUCAGAAAAUUUAUUUUUACCAAACUUUACAAACUACAUAAAUUCUUAUAAUUACAUCAUACCAAAUUUAUAUUGUGAUUGGUUUUAGAAAAAUUGGCAAAUUGCAGAUGUGUAGACUAUUUCUUAUCACAGCUAAAGCAAGUGGAUAUAUUUGAUUAUCUACAUCACAACCAAGCGAAGAUUUCAUGCUAAGUAUGUUUAUGUGAGAAAGACAUUGAUGUAUUUGAAUGUUAUUAAUUAUGCAUCUAGAAAAAAAAACUUAUUACAUGCGUGAUGAUUGUCUUUCGGAUUACUGAGAAGCUCAUCUGAGGCUCCCCUGUUCUAGAAAGUCUUACCAUGGAAGUUUCGGUUUCAAAGAAGCCGAAGCAGGUCAAUUCUCGUUGGAGCUUGUUUGUUCCAGCGAAGCCAAAGCUCCCCAUCUUCACCAAGUUGUCUUGGUGUGUAUGAUCGAUUGUGGAGUAAGUUAAGAUUAACUAAAUGAUUAUGAAGGAGGAAUCGGUUUAAACUAGUAAAUUACUUUCUUGAGAAUUUGCCAGUCCUCAAGAAAUAGACUGACUUUCACAAAAUGUCAUAUCGCCAAUUAAGAGGCAGAGAGCUAUUAGAGUCUUCUUACACCCUGAAAGCGUUCUCCCAGAUGAUAAUUGCUUGACAUGGGCAUUGUUAUUCAAAUUAUCAUAGGAGUUAUUUAUAUCAUGAGAAGUGCAUUUAGGCUUACCAUUUAUAGAUAAACAUUUUUCGGUUUAACGUGAGACACAUAGACUUAUUGGAUGCUAGUCUCUUCUUCAUAUGUUCUAAUAAUUAUUAUACUUCUUAAAACAUUGAACCAUGGAUGAUUCUUACAUGUUUAAAUGCAAAAUUAUUCAACUUUUA